rnacentral:rRNA from 1 species
GUGGGGAAUAUUGGGCAAUGGGGGAAACCCUGACCCAGCGACGCCGCGUGAGGGAAGAAGGCCUUAGGGUCGUAAACCUCUGUUGUGUGGGAAGAAGAGCGUGACGGUACCACACGAGGAAGUCCCGGCUAACUACGUGCCAGCAGCCGCGGUAAUACGUAGGGGACGAGCGUUGUCCGGAUUUACUGGGCGUAAAGGGCGCGUAGGCGGUCAUUUAAGUCAGCUGUGAAAUGGUUUGGCUUAACCGGAUCAUGCGGUUGAAACUGGAUGACUGGAGUGCUGGAGAGGCAAGUGGAAUUCCCAGUGUAGCGGUGAAAUGCGUAGAUAUUGGGAAGAACACCGGUGGCGAAGGCGACUUGCUGGCCAGUAACUGACGCUGAGGCGCGAAAGCCAGGGGAGCAAACGGGAUUAGAAACCCUUGUAGUCC